AUGGUGCUGGCCGAGGGGAAAGGGACCUUCCCGUGGCCCCUCAGGGGCUCUGCUUACGCCCAGCUCACCUGUGUCCGUGGUCCCUGCCACCUCACUCUGCUCCUCUGUCCGGCCCCAGGACGGCUCUGUUCUUCCCCUGGCCCCCCAGGGGCUCUGCUUAUGCCCAGCUCACCUGUGUCCAUGGUCCCUGCCACCUCACUCUGCUCCUCUGUCCGGCCCCAGGACGGCUCUGUUCUGAACACAUCCCCGCCACCGCUGGAGGAGCCCAGCCGAGCUCCGCCGGACGACAGGAAGGACCUCCCGUGGGGGGCCCAGUUUGAGCUGCCGCCCAUGCUGCUGGACACGGAAAGGGAUGGUUACACGUCAUCGAAAGCCACGCCAUCGAAAACACCGGGAACGCAAGACUCCCUCCUCCCCCCGCCCUCCCUCCGCAUCCUGCUGACGCCUCCGGCUCGUGAGGUUGGUGUGUGCGGCGCGAACCUCAUCCAGGCCCCGUCAGAGCUGCUCUGGGCCAGGGGCGAGCACAGAGAAGCUUCUGGAAGGUGGUCUCUCCAUCAGCAGCCGUCACAACGGUGCUGACCAUGUAUUGAGGCCGCUAGUGUCACCGUGCUAGUGUCCAGGGGCGGCCGCUAGUGUCACCGUGCUAGUGUCCAGGGGCAGCCAGAUGAAAGCACUGCAGACCAGGCGGCGUAAAGCACAGACGUCCAUUCUCUGCCCACAGUGGAGCCGGGAGCCCAAGGUCAGCUGUCCCAGGGCCGUGCUCCCUCCAAAGGCUCGGGCGCGCCCCUGCGGCCUCUCCCAGUCCCCGCAGUCCCGGCUCCUUAGCUGGUGGCCACAUCGCUGCCUCCUCCCUGCAUGGCUGUUUCUCUUCUAAGGACACCCACUAUCGGAUAGAGGGCCCACCCUCAACCCAGAGGUCCCACUCGGAGGUCCCUGGGGGACACAGAUUGGGGGCCACCCAUUCUCUCCGCGGGGGCUGGGAGUGGUCGCUCCCCUCAACUAUAAGCAAGAGAUGAGACUCAGACGUUGAGGGGGUCCCUGUGGGACCCUGCAGCUGGAUCCGGGUCCGGGUCCCGAGGGGGCCUCAGGUGGCCCAGGGACCUCCGUCCACGGCUGCCUUUCCCCACAGAAGUCGAGCUCCGUGAGCGGGAAGAGUCUGGUCUCCAAGCUGCGCUCCCCGGGCGGCCAGGAGCCGGGCUACCCCGCCCCGAGGA
ensembl:lncRNA